UAGAGGAUAGUAGAGGUUCGUUCCAUGCACCUGUAGCUGGACUUAUGAGUUCUGAGACUUUUUCUGGUUCAUGACUUGAUGUUGUGCCUCCGAUGGGGCCACUUUUUAACCAUCUGUCAGUUCUAAUUGAAGUGUUUUUUCCAUUUCCGAUUCUGUGCAUGACCUGAGGAGCAACCGAGUCCCUUGCCAUGAUGAUGCUCUGCCAGCCCCACGAGGGCCGAGACCCUCGGCCAGCAUUCCAGAAGUCGCCAUGUGAAUAAUACAGCCCCUUCCAUAAUCCGGUGCUCAGUUUAGAGUUAACCCGAGCUAAGAUCCAUGCAAACACGUCCUUCUUGGUGCGCCCCCAGUCAGAAGGAAGAAAAUCGAAUCAUCAGCAUAGAGUAGGUGGGACAUGGUAGGACAGUGACUAUUCAGUCUGAUUCCUGUGAUCGAACCCUCCUGCACUGCUUUCUUCAUCAGAAUGGACAGCUCAUUGGCGACAAUGAUGAAGAGAUAAGGUGAA